rnacentral:rRNA from 1 species
UGGGGAAUUUUGGACAAUGGGCGAAAGCCUGAUCCAGCAAUGCCGCGUGUGUGAAGAAGGCCUUCGGGUUGUAAAGCACUUUUGUCCGGAAAGAAAUCCUUGGCUCUAAUACAGUCGGGGGAUGACGGUACCGGAAGAAUAAGCACCGGCUAACUACGUGCCAGCAGCCGCGGUAAUACGUAGGGUGCAAGCGUUAAUCGGAAUUACUGGGCGUAAAGCGUGCGCAGGCGGUUUGCUAAGACCGAUGUGAAAUCCCCGGGCUCAACCUGGGAACUGCAUUGGUGACUGGCAGGCUAGAGUAUGGCAGAGGGGGGUAGAAUUCCACGUGUAGCAGUGAAAUGCGUAGAGAUGUGGAGGAAUACCGAUGGCGAAGGCNGCCCAGGCCCAUGGCAUCUGACGCUCAUGCACGAAAGCGUGGGGAGCAAACNGGAUUAAUACCC